rnacentral:rRNA from 1 species
CACGUAGGGCGCAAGCGUUGUCCGGAAUUAUUGGGCGUAAAGAGCUCGUAGGCGGUCUGUCACGUCGGCUGUGAAAACCUGGGGCUCAACCCCGGGCCUGCAGCCGAUACGGGCAGACUAGAAUUCGGUAGGGGAGACUGGAAUUCCUGGUGUAGAGGUGAAAUUCGUAGAUAUGGGGAGGAACACCGGUGGCGAAGGCGGCCACCUGGACGGUAACUGACGCUGAGGUGCGAAAGCGUGGGGAGCAAACAGG